rnacentral:rRNA from 1 species
CCCUUAGAUGUUCUGGGCUGCACGCGCGCUACACUGAUGCGUUCAACGAGUGUAUCACCUUUUCCGAUAGGAAUGGGUAAUCUUCUGAACACGCAUCGUGAUGGGGAUAGAUUAUUGUAAUUAUUAAUCUUCAACGAGGAAUGCCUAGUAAGCGCAAGUCAUCAGCUUGCGUUGAUUACGUCCCUGCCCUUUGUACACACCGCCCGUCGCUCCUACCGAUUGAAUGGUCCGGUGAAGCGUUCGGACCGUGGCCUUUGGACGGUUCGCCGUCUGUUGGCUGCGGGAAGUUCGUUAAACCUUAUCAUUUAGAGGAAGGAGAAGUCGUAACA